rnacentral:rRNA from 1 species
UUGGCGGACGGGUGAGUAACGCGUGGAAAACCUGCCGUAUACUGGGGGAUAACACUUAGAAAUAGGUGCUAAUACCGCAUAAGCGCACAGCUUCGCAUGAAGCGGUGUGAAAAACUCUGGUGGUAUACGAUGGUUCCGCGUCUGAUUAGCUAGUUGGUGGGGUAAUGGCCUACCAAGGCAACGAUCAGUAGCCGGCCUGAGAGGGUGAACGGCCACAUUGGGACUGAGACACGGCCCUAACUCCUACGGGAGGCAGCAG